rnacentral:misc_RNA from 1 species
ACUUCCACCUGGCAUACCUCUUCAGUCUUGUGUCAAUGCUUGUAUUGCAUUGAAUGCACGAUGGGUUUCUUGUGUUGCAUGCCUAAUUAAUGGUAUCGCUUGAUGAAUUGGUAUUCCUUUCGUCUUGGGUCGCCUAUGCGAUGUGAGAUGAACCUUGAAGCAGCCUUUGUGAUCCACUCUUUUGAUGCAUACGCAUUGAUUUUGUGGCCCAUUGAGUGUUGCUUGGUCUCAUGGAUAUGGAACCUGGUGUGGGCAUGGAAUCUAACUGGUUCCUUGUUUGCCCAAGUUUAGCUUUUCUAAAACGAUUGUCUAUCAUGUGUUAACGUGGUAGACUGCUUCGAAUAUGAAUGCUACCUGGUUGAUCCUGCCAGUAGUCAUAUGCUUGUCUCAAAGAUUAAGCCAU